UACGGAGGGUGCAAGCGUUAUCCGGAUUCACUGGGCUUAAAGGGUGCGUAGGUGGGGUGGGAAGUCAGUGGUGAAAUCUCCGUGCUUAACAUGGAAACUGCCAUUGAUACUACUGAUCUUGAAUUUUCUGGAGGUAAGCGGAAUAUGUCAUGUAGCGGUGAAAUGCUUAGAUAUGACAUAGAACACCAAUUGCGAAGGCAGCUUACUGCAGGGAUAUUGACACUGAGGCACGAAAGCGUGGGGAUCAAACAGG
rnacentral:rRNA from 1 species